rnacentral:rRNA from 1 species
AUGGAUGUGAUAAAAAUAUUGAAAAUCAAAAGUUCGCCACGUCUCCGGGAGGAUUUUUUGGCUUGGCACCUGGAGCGGUUAGGCAGGUUCACAGUAAAAAGUGCUUACCGUCCAGCUACUCUACAUCAUGAUGAUGAUUUCGGUGGGGGCGCUAGCGGCGCUCUCCCGAGAGGGGAGCGUCCAUUGUGGAGUAAUAUUUGGCAUACUAUCGUGCCUCCGAAGAUGAAAAUCUUAGCCUGGAAAGCGGUGUUAGGUGCGUUGGCCACCUCAGAAAAUAAACAGUACGAGCACUUGUCGACUCGGGCAUCAUGUCCUAUUUGCGAUCGGGAAGUCGAAGGGUCAUUCCAUGCCCUAGUUGGGUGCGCCCAUGCACAGGGCCUUUGGGAUGCGACGAGUGUUGUUUGGCCUAUUCCGCGCAAAGAACGGGUUCUUGAUACCGGCAAUGAUUGGCUUAUGCUGCUCUUGGCAAGUUGCUCGGACAUUGCACGUAGUAUGAUUGUGAUGCUGGUGUGGCGCAUAUGGCAGGUUCGGAUUGACAUCACACAUGGAAAGAAGGUCGCCCCAGCCCAGGUCUCGGCGGAAUUUCUAGAAAACUACAUGAGGAUGAUUUUAGAUGCUCGGAAGUUCACAGCGGGAGAAAUGUUGAAGGGAAAAAUGAAACUUCAUAGGUCACGUGAUAGUGUUGCAGAUUGCCUGGAAAAAAAAGGCCCGGAGGCCCACCGAAAAGGCAUGCCGACAUCCUGGAACGCGAUGACCCACCAUGCACACAUGGCGAUUGGUACUGGUCCACGUGGCUCCGGGCCCCUGUGUCCGUGGCAACGUGUUGGUUCUUCUCGUGCCAACCAUUCCCCUGAAAUGCAUCAUCGCUUCUCAGUUCGGCCAAACACCACCCAACCAUCCCAUGUGUCCUUCCACCCCCGGUGGUAG